AGCUCCUCUCUAAGUGGUUGGCACAAUGCUAUGGGUUCAUUGCUCAUUUUGUGUUGUACAGGCUGCAGAAUGAGGGAAGAACUUUACAGUACAAAGAUGAAAAAAAGAAAAGAAACUGGCAUGCGCUAAACAGAUGUAAAUGAAGGCAAAUACAGAAAAAAUUACAAAACAAUGCAAAUUGUCAUGAAUGUGGGGCUUGUACAAUGACAACAAGUAAAAAAGAAAAGCAAGAGAAAAACAAAGCAAAUGAAAAUGGAAGAAGGAAAGCGGGGUGAGGUGGGAUUUAACUACCUUUUGCCUAAAGAGGUUCUGAAGCACUUUGCGUCUCAGUGGUUGCCUUGAAAAGUGGGCUGAGAUCACACUGACAUAGUGCAGUGAUAUGCAAAACAAUCUCAUCAGACAAUCAAGCAUCAGCAUUUACAUGAGCCUUAGCAAAGGAGCUCUCUCUUUUUUGAAUUCCAACUGCAGGAAGUUUCAAAGAGAAGACAAUGAAGAAGUUACAAAAGGAAUUUGAUUAAAGAUGAACAACACAUAUCCUUCUCAAGGAAAAAAAAAUCCACUCCCACAAGUGACAACUGCUUCACAUAAAUAAUGUCCUCCAUAAUUUCGUAAUAUGUUUGGCAAAUCAGUCAAUAUGCCGAGACACAAAAUCAAACACCAACAGCUUUAUCCCUGAUAUUUCCAUCUGUCCAUCGGCUUCUUUAACUGUUUACCAAGCACUCUGGGGGCAGUAAUUUGACUUGUUUCUUCUUUAAUAUUGACAAGUGUUUCAUGUAGCUGUAAUGCUCAUGUGCGGGUACAACCAGCUCUUUAACACACUGGUGGUGAGGUUCUGCUCUGUGCAAUGAAGGGAAGAGUUCUUUCUAACUUUUCUGGAGACCAUUCCAUUUCAUCCUAUGGAGACCGGAAGAACUUGAUUGUUUUAUAUGACACUUGGUACUGUGACUGUGCUUAGGUGGACUAGUUACAUGAGUAAAGUUAUUCAUGAGUUACAUGAGUAAUGAGGAUGGUUAAUAGUUUGCUGAGUUUUAAGUUUUAAAAUGUCAAUUCCUUUGCUGUGAAACCCUUCCCUCCUGAUUAUAUCCCACGGAUUCUAUUUUUGAGAACAACACUUGAGGGUGUGAUGGCAACCUGCUUCAGGCCUUUCUGGAUAAAAUAGAUUAUCUAUACCCA